UGGUAGCAACUAUCUUCUUCGCAUGCUUAUUGAGUGCAAUAAAUGCCAUGAUAGUUGAUUAUUGCCACAGAAAUUGUGAAGGAGCUUAUAAGCCUGUCUGUGCUUGGAAUGGUAUUUGUUCUCAAUUCUUUAAUAAUAUUUGCGAAGCAGCCGUAAAAAACUGCAGACUCAGACAAAAUGGUAGACGAGAAUUUACACAUUUUGUAUAUAGGAGGUGUAUUACAGCAAGGCUUUGCAGCAGACAAAUAGGAUGAAAACACAUCGCCCAUACCUCUGAGAAAAUUAGCUGUAAAGAAAUGUAUGUUAUUUUAAUCAAAAAAUAAACUACAUAUUUCUGUACA